rnacentral:antisense_RNA from 1 species
CUUGAUCGACCCGAGCAGCAGUGGUCCGUGCCCGUCACGACCCUGACCGUAGGUCGCCAGCAACGCCUGCGCCUC